rnacentral:lncRNA from 1 species
CUCUUCCUGGCUGCUAAAGUUGACACAAGACGGCUUCUUGGAACUCCCCCUCCUCCCGCCUAAAUGUACAGAGCAAGACUUGAAGUCAAAAGAUAGAUAGCGAUCGUGCUGAAAGUCAGGUGGAAAACAAGACUGCUAAUUUUAUGAAACAACCUAUCAACCCACUGGGAAGAGAUGACAAGAGGUACAUGGGCGCUUCUGCAGGAGGUGGAGGUGGAGGUGAAAUGCCGAGGUUCUAGACUGAUGUAAAUUUCUCCAACUAACUCCAGAUCGAGAGCCUACAAAUCCGACAAAUAUGCCCACACUUUGACAGUAACCGCCUCCCAGCACGCCCCACCACCGCCAACACACAUGGAGGGGUUUGAACUUUUCCACCUUCCGGACCUCUGCAGUCCGUCGCAGGACGCCCAAACCACAGGCCGGACACAGAUGAAGCCAGACCACAGCCCCCGCCCCAGCCACCGCGGCCUAAGGAAAGCAGCCGAUGGCUCCCAAGACAACUCUGUCCGGCCAGUACUCCAGGGCAACUUCAACCCCACUAGGACCCAGGCCAAAACCAUAUAUAUAUAUAUAUAUAUAUAAAUUAACGCAAAACAGAGCCACUUUGGUGCCUACCCCUCCACAAGUAGGUAGGCACAUCCAGGUAGCUCUGUCAGAAGAUGGGACCUGGCGCCUUGCAGGGGUAGCCCUAUGGAGAUCCAGAAGCCCCGUUUCGAGCUACGAAGUCUCUCUUCUACUGCAGUCUUCUCUCCAACGUGGAGAUCUAGCAACUUCCCUCCCCCUGGGAUUCCCUGUGAAUCCACUCUAGUUGGGAUAUAGCCUCUCUACAGCUCAGUGACGUAGCGCGCCAAAACCAAGUACCCACCCCGGCAACUGGAAGACCUAGCUGUCCUCCAUCCCGCCUCCGCAGUCGAUAAUCUCCAGGAUCCAAGCAAAGUGCCUGUCCACGUUGUCACCAGAUCCACAAGCGCUUUUGAUGAGAGCUGCUACCCUUUUGGAAACACGAUUCCCUCUCCCUAGUAGAGAAGAAUCUAUUCUUCUGGGCUGGCGUAGACAAAGAAUAACCAAGAUAAAGUAUGUGGUGUGAAAAUA